UGGCUGCUAAUACCGCAUAAGCGCACAGAGCUCAUGGCUCAGUGUGAAAACUCCGGUGGUAUAAGAUGGACCCGCGUUGGAUUAGCUAGUUGGUGGGGUAACGGCUCACCAAGGCGACGAUCCAUAGCCGGCCUGAGAGGGUGAACGGCCACAUUGGGACUGAGACACGGCCCAGACUCCUACGGGAGGCAGCAGUGGGGAAUAUUGCACAAUGGGGGAAACCCUGAUGCAGCGACGCCGCGUGAAGGAAGAAGUAUCUCGGUAUGUAAAYUUCUAUCAGCAGGGAAGAUAGUGACGGUACCUGACUAAGAA
rnacentral:rRNA from 1 species